rnacentral:rRNA from 1 species
UACGAAGGGGGCUAGCGUUGUUCGGAAUUACUGGGCGUAAAGCGCACGUAGGCGGAUAUUUAAGUCAGGGGUGAAAUCCCAGAGCUCAACUCUGGAACUGCCUUUGAUACUGGGUAUCUCGAGUAUGGAAGAGGUGAGUGGAAUUCCGAGUGUAGAGGUGAAAUUCGUAGAUAUUCGGAGGAACACCAGUGGCGAAGGCGGCUCACUGGUCCAUUACUGACCGCUGAGGUGCGA